UAAGAAUAUAGCUAAAAAGUUCAACAUAUCUUAUCUCAAAAGCCGCACUAUAAUAAUUAUAGAAUUAAUUACAUACAGAUCCAUAUAAAUAUAGUAAAUUGUAAAUAUGUCGUUAUAAAAUUUAACUUUUAUAUAUUAUUUUUGCAAAUAUUUUAAUAUUUUCAAAUAUAUUCAUACCAUUAGAAUUCGUUAGAAAUAUUUAAUUUACCAUAGAUUAAAUAUUUAAUCCUAAUUAGUUUAUGAGAUAACUUGACAUUUUUAUCCUUCUAAUAUUAUGCUCUGUCAUGGCAAGGGAUAUAUUUGUGGUGACAAAAUUGACAUUGUAUUUUUUUGCUGUUAAAAUAUAAAUUUUCUCUAAUGUCAAUAAACCAGAAAGAUAUAUUUGAAAAUAUUAGAACUUUUGUAAGGACAAUAUAUAAAAAUUGAACUUUGUAAAAAUAUAUUUGCAAUUCACUAUAUUUACAAUGAUAAGUAUAUAUUUAGGCUUCAUUUGGGUUUGCGAGGAGAUUGCAUUACGUGCGGUGAGAAAGUACAAUGAAAAAAUAUUUUGUUUAUUUUCAUAGACCUCAAUACCAAAUUAAGCCUUAAUCUAUAAUUAUAUUUUUAUAUAAUAGGGUUAAUUUUAUACAGGUCCCCGCAAAUAUAGUGAAUUACAGAUAUAUUUCUGUAAAGUUUAGCUUUUAAAAGUUAUUUUUACAAAAAUCCUAAUGUAUUCAAAAAUGUCCCUAUGGUUAAAAUCCAUUAGAGAACUACUUAUUUAUUAACAGUAGGCUCGUGAAAUGACAUUUUUACCCUCAUAAAUGUCUUUCCAAAACAACUUUUGCCCUCUUCCUCUUUCUCUUCCUUUU
rnacentral:lncRNA from 1 species